rnacentral:rRNA from 1 species
UACGGAGGGUGCAAGCGUUAAUCGGAAUUACUGGGCGUAAAGCGUGCGCAGGCGGUUUCUUAAGUCAGAUGUGAAAUCCCCCGGCUUAACCUGGGAACUGCGUCUGAUACUGGAGGGCUUGAGUGCGGGAGAGGGAUGUGGAAUUCCAGGUGUAGCGGUGAAAUGCGUAGAUAUCUGGAGGAACACCGGUGGCGAAGGCGGCAUCCUGGACCGACACUGACGCUGAGGCGCGAAAGCUAGGGUAGCAAACGGG